CAAAGGUAUUGCAAGUGGGGUAUGUCCAGUCUUUAAGUAGCCACUUAGUCAAAAACACUGGCCAAAGUUAGCGUUCAUAUUUGUUUUUGUGUGAAAAAAAAAAAGCAACAAAAAAAACAAACAAAUAUUUGGCCAGUGUUUGUGACUAAGUGGCUACUAAAAAAAAGACAAAAAAAAAAAGACUGGACAUGGCCCAUUUGCAAUACCUUGG